GGGAAUAUGGCUUAGUGGUAGAGUGCUUGCCUAGGAUGCAGGAGGCCCUGGGUUUGAAUCCUGGUACCA
rnacentral:tRNA from 1 species